UCAGGCCUAACACAUGCAAGUCGAACGGUAACAUUUCUAGCUUGCUAGAAGAUGACGAGUGGCGGACGGGUGAGUAAUGCUUGGGAACUUGCCUUUGCGAGGGGGAUAACAGUUGGAAACGACUGCUAAUACCGCAUAAUGUCUACGGACCAAACGGGGCUUCGGCUCCGGCGCAAAGAGAGGCCCAAGUGAGAUUAGCUAGUUGGUAAGGUAACGGCUUACCAAGGCGACGAUCUCUAGCUGUUCUGAGAGGAAGAUCAGCCACACUGGGACUGAGACACGGCCCAGACUCCUACGGGAGGCAGCAGUGGGGAAUAUUGCACAAUGGGGGAAACCCUGAUGCAGCCAUGCCGCGUGUGUGAAGAAGGCCUUCGGGUUGUAAAGCACUUUCAGUUGUGAGGAAAAGUUAGUAGUUAAUACCUGCUAGCCGUGACGUUAACAACAGAAGAAGCACCGGCUAACUCCGUGCCAGCAGCCGCGGUAAUACGGAGGGUGCGAGCGUUAAUCGGAAUUACUGGGCGUAAAGCGCACGCAGGCGGUUUGUUAAGCUAGAUGUGAAAGCCCCGGGCUCAACCUGGGAUGGUCAUUUAGAACUGGCAGACUAGAGUCUUGGAGAGGGGAGUGGAAUUCCAGGUGUAGCGGUGAAAUGCGUAAAUAUCUGGAGGAACAUCAGUGGCGAAGGCGACUCCCUGGCCAAAGU
rnacentral:rRNA from 1 species